rnacentral:rRNA from 1 species
GUUAAGCGACUAAGCGUACACGGUGGAUGCCCUGGCAGUCAGAGGCGAUGAAGGACGUGCUAAUCUGCGAUAAGCGUCGGUAAGGUGAUAUGAACCGUUAUAACCGGCGAUUUCCGAAUGGGGAAACCCAGUGUGAUUCGUCACACUAUCAUUAACUGAAUCCAUAGGUUAAUGAGGCGAACCGGGGGAACUGAAACAUCUAAGUACCCCGAGGAAAAGAAAUCAACCGAGAUUCCCCCAGUAGCGGCGAGCGAACGGGGAGCAGCCCAGAGCCUGAAUCAGUGUGUGUGUUAGUGGAAGCGUCUGGAAAGGCGCGCGAUACAGGGUGACAGCCCCGUACACAAAAAUGCACAUACUGUGAGCUCGAUGAGUAGGGCGGGACACGUGGUAUCCUGUCUGAAUAUGGGGGGACCAUCCUCCAAGGCUAAAUACUCCUGACUGACCGAUAGUGAACCAGUACCGUGAGGGAAAGGCGAAAAGAACCCCGGCGAGGGGAGUGAAAAAGAACCUGAAACCGUGU